GGCCCAGACUCCUACGGGAGGCAGCAGUGGGGGAUAUUGCACAAUGGGGGGAACCCUGAUGCAGCGACGCCGCGUGGGUGAAGGAGCGUUUCGGCGCGUAAAGCCCUAUCGGCAGGGAAGAAGGAGGACGGUCCCUGACUAAGAAGCCCCGGCUAACUACGUGCCAGCAGCCGCGCGAAUACGUAGGGGGCACGCGUUAUCCGGAUUUACUGGGUGUAAAGGGAGCGUAGACGGCGAUGCAAGCCAGAUGUGAAAGCCCGGGGCUCAACCCCGGGACUGCAUUUGGAACUGUGUGGCUGGAGUGUCGGAGAGGCAGGCGGAAUUCCUAGUGUAGCGGUGAAAUGCGUAGAUAUUAGGAGGAACACCAGUGGCGAAGGCGGCUUACUGGACUGUAACUGACGUUGAGGCUCGAAAGCGUGGGGAGCAAACAGGAUUAGAUACCCGAGUA
rnacentral:rRNA from 1 species